UACCAAGUUCAGAUUAACAUGCUAACAUCAUGCUAAGACUUUCUAGGAACUUUGCAAAAUACCCCUGGAGCAGUGAGAGAAAAAGGAACAGCGUUUCACAGGAGAGAAGUAGCCACUAACAACCUGGUUUCCACAAGUAAAGUGAAGCAGAAAAUUGAUGCAAUCUGUCUGGGUCAUUCAAGCAAAAUCUUGCUGUGAUCUGGUUGAUUUAGGCUAAAAUAAAAAAAUCAGGUUUAUGGCUUGGAA